GACUUGGCUCAGAUGGUAGAGCAAUUGAUUCGUAAUCAAUAGGUCGCGAGUUCGAGUCUCGCAGUCAG
rnacentral:tRNA from 1 species